GGGGUUAGACGGAACACCCCUAACAAAUGCAAAGUCGAGCGGUAACAGAAAGUAGCUUGCUACUUUGCUGACGAGCGGCGGACGGGUGAGUAAUGCUUGGGAACAUGCCUUGAGGUGGGGGACAACAGUUGGAAACGACUGCUAAUACCGCAUAAUGUCUACGGACCAAAGGGGGCUUCGGCUCUCGCCUUUAGAUUGGCCCAAGUGGGAUUAGCUAGUUGGUGAGGUAAUGGCUCACCAAGGCAACGAUCCCUAGCUGGUUUGAGAGGAUGAUCAGCCACACUGGAACUGAGACACGGUCCAGACUCCUACGGGAGGCAGCAGUGGGGAAUAUUGCACAAUGGGCGAAAGCCUGAUGCAGCCAUGCCGCGUGUGUGAAGAAGGCCUUCGGGUUGUAAAGCACUUUCAGUCAGGAGGAAAGGGUGUGAGUUAAUACCUCACAUCUGUGACGUUACUGACAGAAGAAGCACCGGCUAACUCCGUGCCAGCAGCCGCGGUAAUACGGAGGGUGCGAGCGUUAAUCGGAAUUACUGGGCGUAAAGCGUACGCAGGCGGUUUGUUAAGCGAGAUGUGAAAGCCCCGGGCUCAACCUGGGAACUGCAUUUCGAACUGGCAAAACUAGAGUGCGAUAGAAGGGGUGGUA
rnacentral:rRNA from 1 species